GCCAAUUAAAGCGGUACGUGAGCUGGGUUUAGAACGUCGUGAGACAGUUCGGUCCCUAUCUGCCGUGGGUGUUGGAUACUUGAGAGGAGCUGUCCCUAGUACGAGAGGACCGGGAUGAACACACCUCUGGUGGACCUGUUGUGGCGCCAGCCGCAUUGCAGGGUAGCUAUGUGUGGACUAGAUAACCGCUGAAAGCAUCUAAGCGGGAAGCCCCCCU
rnacentral:rRNA from 1 species